rnacentral:rRNA from 1 species
AGAGUUUGAUCCUGGCUCAGGACGAACGCUGGCGGCGUGCUUAACACAUGCAAGUCAAGGGGGCCCGCAAGGGCAACCGGCGAACGGGUGCGUAACACGUGAGCAAGCUUCCGAUUUGUGGGGGAUAGCCGGCCCAACGGCCGGGUAAUACCGCAUACGUUCACCGGACGGCAUCGUCUGGUGAGGAAACCUCCGGGGCAAAUCGAGGCGCUCGCGGCCUAUCAGCUAGUUGGCGGGGUAACGGCCCACCAAGGCUACGACGGGUAGCUGGUCUGAGAGGAUGGCCAGCCACAUUGGGACUGCGACACGGCCCAGACUCCUACGGGAGGCAGCAGUGGGGAAUAUUGCGCAAUGGACGAAAGUCUGACGCAGCGACGCCGCGUGUGGGAUGAAGCCUUUCGGGGCGUAAACCACUGUUGCCCGGGACGAAACUCCUUUUUCGAGAGGAUUGACGGUACCGGGUGAGGAAGCACCGGCUAACUCUGUGCCAGCAGCCGCGGUAAUACAGAGGGUGCGAGCGUUGUCCGGAAUCACUGGGCGUAAAGGGCGCGUAGGUGGCUGGGUAAGCGUGUGGUGAAAGUCCGGGGCUCAACCCCGGAUCUGCCGUGCGAACUGCCUAGCUUGAGCAAUGUAGAGGCAGGUGGAAUUUCGGGUGUAGCGGUGGAAUGCGUAGAUAUCCGAAAGAACACCAGUGGCGAAGGCGGCCUGCUGGGCAUUUGCUGACACUGAGGCGCGACAGCGUGGGGAGCAAACAGGAUUAGAUACCCUGGUAGUCC